rnacentral:tRNA from 3 species
GGGUGAUUAGCUCAGUUGGGAGAGCAUCGCCCUUACAAGGCGAGGGUCACUGGUUCAAGUCCAGUAUUACCCACCA